UCAACUUCACGGACAAGCUGUGUACCUUCGCGUCCAUCACGGACUGUCCGAGGGCCAUGAGCUGUUGCUUCUCCCACAGGGUCCAGAAGGAGCACAUAUAUCAUCCCUCGCUGUACAAAACCCAGCUCUGCGAGUCGCCGCUCACCGAGGAUGGAAUUUGCGCCGAGUUUGGAGUCCAUUGCGCCAAGGCUCAUGGCCUGAAAGACCUGCGGCAGCCGCAGUAUGAGCCAGAGGACCCGCGCGCGCAGGCGCAGCGAUCCGGCAGCGCUUCGCCGCAGUUCCGCUCGGCUGACAGCGGCCAAGAGUCGAAGUU
rnacentral:ribozyme from 1 species